rnacentral:rRNA from 1 species
CAGCAGCCGCGGGAACACGGAGGGGGCUAGCGUUGUUCGGAAUUACUGGGCGUAAAGCGCACGUAGGCGGCUUGGUAAGUUAGAGGUGAAAGCCUGGAGCUCAACUCCAGAAUUGCCUUUAAGACUGCCGAGCUAGCAGGUGAGAGAGGUAAGUGGAAUUCCGAGUGUAGAGGUGAAAUUCGUAGAUAUUCGGAAGAACACCAGUGGCGAAGGCGACUCUCUGGUCUGUAACUGACGCUGAGGAGCGAAAGCGUGGGGAGCGAACAGGAUUAGAUACCCCUGUAGUCCCUGUCUCUUAUAC